GCUCAGGAUGAACGCUAGCUACAGGCUUAACACAUGCAAGUCGAGGGGUAGCAGGGUAGCAAUACCGCUGACGACCGGCGCACGGGUGAGUAACACGUAUCCAACCUUCCCAUAACUCAGGGAUAGCCUUUCGAAAGAAAGAUUAAUACCUGAUAGUACUUAAGAAAGGCAUCUUUUUUAAGUUAAAGAUUUAUUGGUUAUGGAUGGGGAUGCGUUCCAUUAGAUAGUUGGUGAGGUAACGGCUCACCAAGUCUUCGAUGGAUAGGGGUUCUGAGAGGAAGGUCCCCCACAUUGGUACUGAGACACGGACCAAACUCCUACGGGAGGCAGCAGUGAGGAAUAUUGGUCAAUGGGCGAGAGCCUGAACCAGCCAAGUAGC
rnacentral:rRNA from 1 species